ensembl:lncRNA
CACAGAGAGAGACGCCGAGUGAGGCCUGAAACACACAGAGAGAGAGACGCCGAGUGAGGCCUGAAACACACAGAGAGAGAGAGACGCCGAGUGAGGCCUGAAACACACAGAGACAGACGCCGAGCGAACCUUGCGUGUGAUUGCGUAGUGCCCCUUCAUGGCGUUGAGGCUCCAUUUGAUGUCCUGACAGGAAAUCAUCCUGAAGUCUCCCAUCAAGAGGUCAGCUGCCUGCAUCGCCGCCUCAGAACCCACCUGACCUAACGACCCGUAGUCAAACAGGUCCUCUGCAGACU